CUGGAAGGCUGAGGUAGGAGGAUCACACGUUCCAGCCUGGGAAAUUUAGUGACAACAUAUUCCUCUCUAAGCUCUUAGGAUAAGUUAUAUACAAUAUGUUGUUUCAUUUAUUAUCUUAAAUCAGACAUGAUGUAAAGAAAGUUAGAACCUUCUCAUUAAUUCAGCCGUACUCUUUAGAACCAAUUCUAUUUCAGUUGAGUAGGCCCUCUGUUCUCUUCACCACGUAUAGAGGCAGAUGUCAGUCACAGAGUCUAUUAGGGUCCUGUCCUGUGAAGUCGCGUACUUGCAUGGCUGAUCAUCCAUACAUUUCCACGGAUUUACAGUAACUAAAAAAUAGCUCUGCACGACCAGGUGCUUCAAUCCUUCAUGUAUUCCCAACAGUGAGGAAAACAGGAAGAGAGGGAAGAUUUUUCUAAACUUCUCAGAUAAAUGACCAACAUCCUUCUGUCGAAG
ensembl:lncRNA